GGAUUAGAUACCCUGGUAGUCCACACCGUAAACGAUGAAUGCUAGUUGCACGGUUCAUUUGCAUACUGUGUGACGCAGUUAACGCAUUAAGCAUUCCGCCUGGGGAGUACGGUCGCAAGAUUAAAACUCAAAGGAAUUGACGGGGGCCCGCACAAGCGGUGGAGUAUGUGGUUUAAUUCGACGCAACGCGCAGAACCUUACCCAGUCUUGACAUCCCUGGACACCUAUAGAGAUAUAGUCUCCUCCCUAACCGGAGGUCAGGUGACAGGUGCUGCAUGGCUGUCGUCAGCUCGUGCCG
rnacentral:rRNA from 1 species